rnacentral:rRNA from 1 species
UCGGGAAUUUUGCCCAAUGGACGAAAGUCUGAGGCAGCAACGCCGCGUGAGGGAUGAAGGCCUUCGGGUUGUAAACCUCUUUUCUCAGGGACGAUGAUGACGGUACCUGAGGAAUAAGCCACGGCAAACUACGUGCCAGCGGCCGCGGUAAUACGUAGGUGGCAAGCGUUGUCCGGAUUUACUGGGCGUAAAGAGCGCGCAGGCGGUCGUUCAAGUCGGAUGUGAAAGCCCCCGGCUCAACUGGGGAGGGUCAUUCGAUACUGAUCGACUCGAAGGCAGGAGAGGGAAGCGGAAUUCCCGGUGUAGUGGUGAAAUGCGUAGAUAUCGGGAGGAACACCAGAGGCGAAGGCGGCUUCCUGGCCUGUUCUUGACGCUGAGGCGCGAAAGCCAGGGGAGCGAACGGG